rnacentral:rRNA from 1 species
AGAGUUUGAUCCUGGCUCAGAACGAACGCUGGCGGCAGGCCUAACACAUGCAAGUCGAACGAACCUUUUAGGUGAGUGGCGCACGGGUGCGUAACGCGUGGGAAUGUACCUCGGGGUGCGGAACAACGUCUGGAAACGGACGCUAAUACCGCAUAAUGACUUCGGUCCAAAGAUUUAUCGCCCUGGGAUCAGCCCGCGUCUGAUUAGCUUGUUGGUGGGGUAACGGCCUACCAAGGCUACGAUCAGUAGCUGGUCUGAGAGGAUGAUCAGCCACACUGGGACUGAGACACGGCCCAGACUCCUACGGGAGGCAGCAGUGAGGAAUAUUGGACAAUGGGGGCAACCCUGAUCCAGCCAUGCCGCGUGAGUGAUGAAGGCCUUAGGGUUGUAAAGCUCUUUCAGAUGUGACGAUGAUGACGGUAGCAUCAGAAGAAGCCCCGGCUAAAUUCGUGCCAGCAGCCGCGGUAAUACGAAUGGGGCAAGCGUUGUUCGGAAUCACUGGGCUUAAAGCGUACGCAGGCGGGAUGGAAAGUCAGAAGUGAAAUCCCGGGGCUCAACCCCGGAACUGCUUUUGAAACUUCCAUUCUAGAAUCCCGGAGAGGUUGGCGGAAUUCCGAGUGUAGAGGUGAAAUUCGCAGAUAUUCGGAGGACACCAGUGGCGAAGCGGCCACUGGACGGGCAUUGACGCUGAGGUACGAAAGCGUGGGGAGCAAAC